UUGUGUGAUGGUAUUGAGCUCCUUUCCUUCUACGCAAACUGUCUUAUAUAUGCUAAUGGACUUUGUUCAAUGAAUAUAUGUGAUGUAUUUUACAAGGAAUUGUUGAUGUUGUGAUGUAGUAUUUAUGGCAAUUUAAGGAACACAAUGUCAUGGAGUUCCUGGUUCUUGCUGGAGAUCAUUUAUAUCGUAUGGAUUAUGAGAGGUUCAUUCAAGCACAAAGAAACUGACACAAAUAUCACUAUGGUUGCAUUACCAAUGGAUGAAAAACAUGCAACUGCAUUUGUUCUGGUGAAAGGAAUGUUAAUUCAAAUGGUGCAGGACUGGUUUUUCUUCUGAAGGGUCUGCUUACAUAUAUUUUUUUGCAGAUUUGGGAGAACUAUGUUGAAGGACAGGAAGUUACAAAUGGUUCAUCUGUUGUUGAAAGUAAACAAAAGGAAGUACUUUUGGUGGUGGUAGCUGAAGUACUUGGAGAUGGCAAGUUCUACAUCCAAACAGUCGGCAACCAGAAAGUGGCUGCUAUUCAAAAGCAGUUAGCUUUGUUGAACUUUCAAGAAGCCCCUGUUGUGGGUGCUUUUAAUCCUAAGGGCCAAUACUACAAAGCAUGCCUUUAUGCUGGAAUUAACAUUAGUUGGAUCAAUGGUGAAGUUAUGUCUGGCCAGGUAGUAAUCUCUUGCUUGUAUUCUCUCUUUUGGUUUAGCUUAAAUUCUGAUGCAGUCCAUGUGAGCCCCACUUAUCUUGAGGACCAAGAUUGGGAGGAAGUGCCAAGCACUGUCAUCUCUAUUCUGGUUUAGCUUAAAAUCUUUAUUUGUAAAUUUGUAUCCAUAUGCAUUGUCGGAGAAACUAAAAAACUUACUCAUUCUCAUAUUGCAUUGUGGAAUAUGCAUCCAUUAUUCAACGAAAGGGCGACAUUCUAAGC